rnacentral:rRNA from 1 species
UACGUAGGGCGCAAGCGUUAUCCGGAAUUAUUGGGCGUAAAGAGCUCGUAGGCGGUUUGUCGCGUCUGCCGUGAAAGUCCGGGGCUCAACCUCGGAUCGGCCGUGGCGACUCGUGGGCUGGAGCACUGUAGAGGCGGGUGGAAUUCCGGGUGUAGCGGUGGAAUGCGUAGAGAUCCGGAAGAACACCAGUGGCGAAGGCGGCCCGCUGGGCAGUGGCUGACGCUGAGGCGCGACAGCGUGGGGAGCAAACAGG